rnacentral:lncRNA from 1 species
GUGUUUAUUGAUAUACUUAAGUGCAAGGUUUAUCAGGGCUAGGUUUAAAACGUAUGAUAAAUUCAAAAUGGAAAUAUGCAGCAGGACAGACAAUUUUUGCAGAUAAAUAAAUUAUGGGUUGUAAUGCUUGUUUGAUUAACAGAAAUCUGGACAUGCAUUACAUGAAUACAGAUAAAUUAAUGAGCCCUUAGAAUUGUGGAAAAGGAGGGGAUUUUAUUCAUCACUAGUACACAAGAUACGUUUAUAAAUAUGUUUCUGUCAGCAUCUUUUAUGUUUUAAGAAUUAUCUUAUUCAUGUUAAGAAGAAAAGGGGGGAAGUACUUCAAUUGACACAAGAUGCUAGUCUUUAAAAUAUGUAUGUUUUGUACCAGGCUAGAAUCUACUGGUACAAAACUACUAUAACCUGUAAAUCUGGGACCAUUUUGGUCUUUAAGAUUUGGUGAUAUACAGCCAUAAUUAUCUUGAAUGCAUCAUUGUGGUUCUGACUAUAGUAGAUACAUUGUUCUCUGGUUCAAGGGAAAAUUUGUCAAUGAUAAAUUUCAAAUAUUUAAUAAGUUCAACAAAUGUAAGAGCCACGCAUAUUCAACAAAUUUAAGAGCCAUGCAUAUUUGUUCUGUGAUGUCCCGGUGAAAAACUUCCAUCUCAUGAAGCGACAAAGUCGAGCAGACAUCAUCUGUUUCUGCUUUACAAAAGAUAAAAUUUGAGUCCUCUAC